GCCUUCAUGGUGUAGUGGUCAGUACGCUGGGCGCGUAUUCCAGAGCUCCGUGGUUCGAGUCCCGGUGAAGGCG
rnacentral:tRNA from 1 species